ACUCAAAUGAAUUGACGGGGACCCGCACAAGCGGUGGAGCAUGUGGAUUAAUUCGAUACUAACCGAAGAACCUUACCCAGACUUGACAUCGAUCGCAAGCCUUUGAAAGAAGGCCCUCCCUCUCAAGGGGACGUGAAGACACUUGUUGCAUGGCUGUCGUCAGCUCGUGCCGUGAGGUGUACGGUUAAGUCCGCCAACGAGCGCAACCCUCGUCCUGUGUUACCAGCAUGAAAGAUGGGGACUCACAGGAGACCGCCGGUGUAAGCCGGAGGAAGGUGGGGAUGACGUCAAGUCAGCAUGGCAGUUACGUCUGGGGCUUCACACAUGCUACAAUGGGCGAAACAAAGGGCCGCGAUACCGUGAGGUGGAGCCAAUCCCAAAAAUACGCCCCCAGUUCAGAUUGUAGUCUGCAACUCGACUACAUGAAGGCGGAAUCGCUAGUAAACGCAGGUCAGCUAUACUGCGUUGAAUACGUUCCCGGGUCUUGUACACACCGCCCGU
rnacentral:rRNA from 1 species